AUAUAUAUAUAUAUAUAUAUAUAUAAAUGUGUAUAUAUAAAUGUAUAUGUGUAUGUGUGUGAAUAUUAUCAGAAUGCUGAACAGGUUUUACAGCAGUGACGCUCAGACUCUGUAUCUGGUACUGAGUUAGUCUGAGUAGUAACUGUGUGUGUGAUGUCACACCUGUGAUGUCAUCAUUAGCGUCACAUGACAGUUGAGUGAAGACUGAAGGAAUAGAGCACUACUGUAAUAGAAGAUAAGUGGUGUAUUCGAUCCCCCUGUUUCUCUUCACAGUUGGUUCAAUCCAUAAUCUGAUUAAUCUGGUAUGAUUCCACCCUCUAUUUUCAGAAAUGGUUUAUUCCAGGCAUUUAUAUAUUGAUGUAUUGUUAAUCAGAUCAUGCUGUAUCAAAAAAUGGUCCAGGGGUGGAUGUGGGAUAGAUAAUAUAUCACAUUCCCCCUCUGGUCAGAAAUGGUUUGUUCUCAGGACCACAGUGCCCUUGUUCAGCACUGAGACCGAGGAGUCCAUCUUUAUGAAGAUGGACCAAACCAUUCAUCCAUCCAUACCAUUUCCAAAGCAGGGGGAUCCAAAACAGCAGAUGUCAUCCAUGUGCAGCAGUCUCCUAACGUCUCUACAGAACAUUCCACCUUAUGAGAUCACUGUGACAUCAUACAGCAGUUAAAACGCACGGUUCUGUUAGCGUGAUGUGGUCUGAACACCAGAAUGUUAAACAUUUCCUGUCUGACUCAGAGAACACAAGCACUCAUAUUUACACAUCAUUUAAUCUUCAUGCUUCUCUAAUGUGCUCUUAAACCUUUACUGCUUUCCUUUGUUUAGUUUAAACGCCUAUGAUUAAACUCGCUCUCAGGGCUUGUUGUGUAAAUACUGACACACGCACGCACACAGAGCCAUGCUGAUGAGGGGGAAGAAUUAUUUUUAUUAUAAAAAAAACAUUAAUUUUAAAUGUGAUGUAAAUAGUUUCAAGUUGCACUAAAAUACUGGUCUGGAAAUAAAUAAUUAUUAUGAAACAACACACUUUGAUUGUGACUUAAUAACACACACUGGUUUCACCUCCAUGUCCUAUACAUCAUCAUCAUCUAUAAAGCUUUUAUGUGAACUAUGACGCCCCUAGUGGGAUUCUCAGGUAGUGCUGUAGUUUCAGGUAGCAUUCUCCAGGACACCUGGGGGUGCUGUUGUGUGGGCAUGGCUUACUGAG
ensembl:lncRNA